AAGUGGGACCCUAUUCAGCCCGCAACAAUAAACCUCUCUCUGUAUCACGAACCAGAGAACCAGAGAAAAUUAGGGCACGACCAGAGAACCAGAGAAAAUUAGGGCAUAAUGGUUGAAGGAGGCGUAAUCGGGUAGAGUAAGCCGAUUUAUCUCUCACGGAGGUAAACGGUCGGAGGAGCAGAUCAAAGCCAUAAUCAAAGCAAAUCCAGAGGAGCUAGUGGUUCUAAUUCAGCGUCAUUAAGAAUAACUGAGUGGUGAGCAAUACCAUUCUGAUUUCUGAAUCCAAUUGAGGGAUAAUCCAUCGAAAUUUCACGUCUGUAUUGCAGGCAUCCAACCGAAGAUAUGGCAGGUUGGAUGCGUGCAAUCCAGACGUGAAAUUUCGAUGGAUUAUCCCUCAAUUGGGAUUCAGAAAUCAGAAUGGUAUUGCUCACCACUCUGUUAUUCUUAAUGACGCUGAAUAUUAGAACCACUGGCUCCUCUGGAUUUUCUUUGGUUAUGGCUUUGAUCUGCUCCUCCUACCGUCCGUUUACCCAUCCAUGAGAGAGAAUCGGCUUUACUUUCCUCGAUUACGCUUCCUUUAACCAUUAUGCCCUAAUUUUCUCUGGGUUCGUGAUACAGGAGAGGUUUAGAGAGAGAAAGGGUUGAGGUUUAGCUGAUUCUCCUUUCAUGCGGUAUGUAUACGUAUAUAUAGAUCCGAUAUUUGUUGUUUUAGUACACUGGACCAGGAUUUCUGGUCAUACGGUUCCUGUGGGGUUUGAGUAGACUUGGCUGAUGAGCAUACGAUUCGUCUGGGAGACGACUGGAGCAUAUACUAUAGAUUGGUGUGGACUCCGUUGCGCGGCGCUUAUGAUGUGGAGACCGUGUUCGCUAUGCCUACUGCCAUUUUUGCUCUGGCGGAAGAAUUAGAGAAUCAUCUGGAUGAACAAAUGAUCCUGCUACAAGAAGAGUUGCUCUAUGUGCUUGAAGAUAGGACUCUUACUUUAGGAAAGAUUAAGCUGGAGUUCAAUGUCUCAAGGAUUGUAGGAGCAUGUGAAGGGGUCAUUGUUGUCGAAGAUCAAAAAAGUUCAUAUGACUUGCCAACGGUGACUAUAAGUUCAUUCUAAUGAUGUCUAACCUGGAUGCUGUCCAAAUGUUUAAUCUAUCCUGUGAUUCUUGGCAAUUAGUAGGAUCUUAUCCACACAGCUGUAUAUUAAAAUCUCCAUUGGCAAUUUUGCAUAAGCAUUCGCUCUACUGGUUAGCUGAGAACAGA